UACGAAGGGUGCAAACGUUGCUCGGAAUCAUUGGGCGUAAAGCGCACGUAGGCGGCUUGCCAAGUCGGACGUGAAAUCCCUCAGCUCAACUGAGGACGUGCAUCCGAAACUGGCGAGCUUGAGUACUGAAGAGGAUCGCGGAAUUCCAGGUGUAGCGGUGAAAUGCGUAGAUAUCUGGAGGAACACCGGUGGCGAAGGCGGCAUCCUGGACCGGUAUUGACGCUGAGGCGCGAAAGCCAGGGGAGCAAACGGG
rnacentral:rRNA from 1 species